UUGGAGGGCAAGUCUGGUGCCAGCAGCCGCGGUAAUUCCAGCUCCAAUAGCGUAUAUUAAAGUUGUUGCAGUUAAAAAGCUCGUAGUUGAAUUUCGGAAUCAAUUUGUUGGUCGUGCCUCGGUACGUACUGGUAUUAUUGGUUUCUACCUUCUGAAGAACCUUGAUGUCAUUAAUUUGGUGUCUUGGGGAAUCAGGACUGUUACUUUGAAAAAAUUAGAGUGUUUAAAGCAAGCAUACGCUUGAAUACAUUAGCGUGGAAUAAUGAAAUAGGACGUUUGAUUCUAUUUUGUUGGUUUCUAGGAUCGACGUAAUGAUUAAUAGGGAUAGUUGGGGGCAUUAGUAUUCAAUUGUCAGAGGUGAAAUUCUUGGAUUUAUUGAAGACUAACUACUGCGAAAGCAUUUGCCAAGGAUGUUUUCAUUAAUCAAGAACGAAAGUUAGGGGAUCGAAGACGAUCAGGUACCGUCGUAGUCUUAACCAUAAACUAUGCCGACUAGGGAUCGGAUGAUGUUAAUUUUUUAAUGACUCAUUCUGCGCCUUACGGGAAACCAAAGUGUUUGGGUUC
rnacentral:rRNA from 1 species